ensembl:snRNA U6 U6 spliceosomal RNA
GUGCUCACUUUGGCAGCACAUAAACUAAAAUUGGAAUGAUACGGAGAUUAGCAUGGACCCUGCACAAGAAUGACACGCAAAUUCGUGAAGCAUUCCAUAUUUUU